AUACGUAUGGAGCAAGCGUUAUCCGGAUUUACUGGGUGUAAAGGGAGCGUAGACGGACUUGCAAGUCUGAUGUGAAAGGCUGGGGCUCAACCCCGGGACUGCAUUGGAAACUGUAGGUCUUGAGUGCCGGAGAGGUAAGCGGAAUUCCUAGUGUAGCGGUGAAAUGCGUAGAUAUUAGGAGGAACACCAGUGGCGAAGGCGGCUUACUGGACGGUAACUGACGUUGAGGCUCGAAAGCGUGGGGAGC
rnacentral:rRNA from 1 species